rnacentral:rRNA from 1 species
CCUACGGGAGGCAGCAGUAAGGAAUCUUCCGCAAUGGGCGAAAGCCUGACGGAGCAACGCCGCGUGGGCGAUGAAGGCCUUCGGGUCGUAAAGCCCUUUUCUGGGGGACGAUAAUGACGGUACCACAGGAAUAAGCCACGGCUAACUACGUGCCAGCAGCCGCGGUAAUACGUAGGUGGCUAGCGUUAUCCGGAUUCACUGGGCGUAAAGAGCGCGUAGGCGGUGUGCUAAGUUGGACGUGAAAGCCCCCGGCUUAACCGGGGGAGGUCGUCCAAUACUGGUGCACUUGAGGGUGGACGGGGAAAGCGGAAUUCCCGGUGUAGCGGUAAAAUGCGUAGAUACCGGGAGGAACACCGUUGGCGAAGGCGGCCUUCUGGGCUUCUCCUGACGCUGAGGGGCGAAAGCCAGGGGAGCGAACCGGAUUAGAUACCCGGGUAGU